rnacentral:rRNA from 1 species
UACAGAGGGUGCGAGCGUUGUUCGGAAUUACUGGGCGUAAAGCGCGCGCAGGCGGCCUUUUAAGUCUGCUGGUGAAAUGCCGGGGCUCAACCCCGUGCCCGCCACAGAUACUGGGAGGCUGGAGACGAGUAGAGGCAAGCGGAAUUCCGGGUGUAGCGGUGGAAUGCGUAGAGAUCCGGAAGAACACCGGAGGCGAAGGCGGCUUGCUGGGCUCGGUCUGACGCUGAGGCGCGAAAGCUAGGGGAGCAAACGGG